rnacentral:lncRNA from 1 species
GACUAAACCACAAUUAAAGAGUACACAUAGAGGGACCCAUGACUCCAGCUGCAUAUGUAGCAGAGGGUUGCCUUACCUAGCUUCAAGGGAGGGGAGACUCAUGGUCUUAUGAAGGUUUGUUGCCCUAGCAUAGGGGAAUGCUAGAGGGGUGAGGUGGGAGUGGGUGGGUAGGUUGGGGAACACUCAUAGAGGCAGGGGUGGGGUAGGAUAAGGUGGUUUGAAGAGGGAAGACUGGAUAGGAGGGACAACAUUUGAAAUGUAAAUAAAUAAAGUAACCAAUUAAUUAUAAGGGUAAGGCUAUUAGACAUUCUUAUAUCAUCUAAAGGCCACCAGGUGCUCUGGGUUAUGUAAAUCCAAAGAAAGCAGGUGCUCUAGUCAAGAAAACAGGAAAUCUUUGUUCAGGGAACAGUCUCAAAAAGAAUGGGGAUUUAUAGAGGUAGAGGAUAUAUGUUGAUAGAGGACACUUGAAAUCUUCCUCUGGCUACUACACAUGCCCCGGGUACAUGCACCAGCACUCAUGCUCUCACAGACAUAUUCACACACAUGUAAAGAAGUAAAUAAGUAGAUCCUUUAAAACUGAAACAGAGUUGAGUUAUAGGCUCUGUCAAAUCAUUUACUGAAAGUCUUCUAAGAAAAACACCAUUCUCACAUAUAUAUAAUAAAGCCUCGUUUCUCUACCCCAGGGUGGUCUCCAUUCAUUUUUGUAUUUCUUUUUUAGCACCUGGGUUCUAUGAUGUUCCUUUAGAAGUAUGUAGCUGCCGCUUGUGGAAGAUAGACCUGCAUAUUCUGAGCUCUAAGGGAAAAUUACUUAUGGA